GACGAACGCUGGCGGCGUGCUUAACACAUGCAAGUCGAACGAAGAGCGACGGAAGCUUGCUUCUAUCAAUCUUAGUGGCGAACGGGUGAGUAACGCGUAAUCAACCUGCCCUUCAGAGGGGGACAACAGUUGGAAACGACUGCUAAUACCGCAUACGAUCUAAUCUCGGCAUCGAGGAUGGAUGAAAGGUGGCCUCUACAUGUAAGCUAUCACUGAAGGUGGGGAUUGCGUCUGAUUAGCUAGUUGGAGGGGUAACGGCCCACCAAGGCGAUGAUCAGUAGCCGGUCUGAGGGGAGGGACGGCCAAAUGGGGAGUGAAACAGGGCCAAGCAUCCACAGGGAGGCAGAAGGGGGAAAACUUCCGAAAUGGAAAAAAGUUGGACGGGGAAAGCCGGAGGGGGUAAUGGCGGCUUUCGGUUUGUAAAGCUUUGUUAACGGGGGCAAAAGGCCUUUUGGAGAAAAGUGAAAAGGAUUGACGGUACGGGAAAAGAAAGCCACGGCAAACAAGGU
rnacentral:rRNA from 1 species